UGGGUAACCUGCCUCAAAGAGGGGAAUAGCCUCCCCGAAAAGGGAGAUUAAUACCGCAUAAUAUGUUUAGGUCGCAUGACUUUAACAUCAAAGGAUUUUCUUUUAAGAAAUUCCACUUUGAGAUGGACCCCGCGGCGCAUUAGCUAGUUGGUGAGGUAACGGCUCACCAAGGCAACGAUGCGUAGCCGACCUGAGAGGGUNAUCGGCCACAUUGGAACUGAGACACGGUCCAGACUCCGUAGGAG
rnacentral:rRNA from 1 species